rnacentral:tRNA from 1 species
GCCGAUGUAGCUCAGUUGGUAGAGCAACUGAUUCGUAAUCAGUAGGUCGCCCGUUCGAUUCGGGCCAUCGGCACCA